rnacentral:rRNA from 1 species
AGCCUGAUGCAGCAACGCCGCGUGAGGGAUGACGGCCUUCGGGUUGUAAACUUCUUUUAGUAGGGAAGAAGCGAAAGUGACGGUACCUGCAGAAAAAGCACCGGCUAACUACGUGCCAGCAGCCGCGGUAAUACGUAGGGUGCAAGCGUUGUCCGGAAUUAUUGGGCGUAAAGAGCUCGUAGGCGGUUUGUCGCGUCUGCUGUGAAAUCUGGGGGCUCAACCCCCAGCCUGCAGUGGGUACGGGCAGACUAGAGUGCGGUAGGGGAGAUUGGAAUUCCUGGUGUAGCGGUGGAAUGCGCAGAUAUCAGGAGGAACACCGAUGGCGAAGGCAGAUCUCUGGGCCGUAACUGACGCUGAGGAGCGAAAGCAUGGGGAGCGAACAGGAUUAGAUACCCUGGUAGUCCAUGCCGUAAACGUUGGGAACUAGAUGUGGGGGCCAUUCCACGGUCUCCGUGUCGCAGCUAACGCAUUAAGUUCCCCGCCUGGGGAGUACGGCCGCAAGGCUAAAACUCAAAGGAAUUGACGGGGGCCCGCACAAGCGGCGGAGCAUGCGGAUUAAUUCGAUGCAACGCGAAGAACCUUACCAAGGCUUGACAUAUACCGGAAACGUCCAGAGAUGGUCGCCCCGCAAGGU